rnacentral:lncRNA from 1 species
UUAGUAUAUACAUAGAAAUAACAGAAUAUGAACUUUUUGUUGCCAUUUUGACAACAUGGGCAUGGCACGAUAACAAGUGUAUAAGUAAGACUGUAAGAGUAUAUUCUUGAUCAACUUAUAGUUGGAUUUAUCUCAAUGGUUAUGGUCUUAUGGAUUUCUAUAAUUCUCUUGCAGGAGUUCAAGGGCACAUAGAUAUUGUUUUAGUUGUGUUGGCUUUCUAGUUAGUUACAACUUACAUAAUGUGAAUCUCCUUUCAAGAGUCAAUUUGCUUAGUUAUGGAGAUGCUAAACUUUNUCCAUAUAGCCAUUACUUUGCUUAAUAGAAUCUAAUAUUGGAGAAAUUUUUGUUGUAGAGUUAGUUUCUCAAAUGUAUUUUGGUGUCUUUUUAAACUGACUUCUUUGAUUGUAUCCCUAAUUGUUACUUCUUCCAUCUCUCCUGAAGCACAUGCUGGUUGCUGCUAGGUUCUCUAUACUGUUUUUAGGUCUUAAAAAGGGAUUCAUAUGUGAUUAUAUGUUGCUCAAGGUUUUUUGGUGAAAGUUGUUGUAACGAGUAAAAGAUCUAAGUCUAGUGCUCAGUAAUCAUUCAGGUGUGAGUGAAAUCAUUUGAAUUGGAGCCAUUUCUAUCUGUUUUUAGCCCUAUAUUACAGCAGGAUAUAGAUUCUUAGACCAGCUUUUGUUAACUGUAGCUCUGACUAGGGCUUGAAACUUUCAUUAUAAUUACUCCAAUUUGAAUGACAUGCAUGUCUUCUCUUUUAUAGAUUGACUAUUGAGGUCAAAUUCAAUAUUCCAUCCAGUUACUUAUUUAACUUUUACUUACAGCUGUUUUGUGAUUGUGAGAUAGUGUUUGAUAUACUUUGUUUUCUGGUAGGGAUUUUGAAUGUUGGAUAUAGCCAGGGUAGGCCUGUUUCUUUUUCUCCUUUUUGUGUUUUUGAACUAUGAUUUGAAGGUUAUUUUGGUCUUAUGUGUGUUUGAUUUUCCAAAAAGCUUUAAGCUAACUCUAAUAAGCAGUCAGUAGUCGACAUUAAAUGAUAUGAUAUGAUAUCCAUAGUCAUAGUCAUAGCCAUGUGUUGUUUGUUAUGGAGAUUAUUAUUCAUAGCAUGAUUUAGUAGGGUGGAAGGAAAUUGAAAUUUGAAAUGAGCCGUUUUAUGCAAAUUCAGGUCCUCGAAAGAAUUCCCAGACAUGCAUAGCCUUAUCAUGCACACAUACAACCAAGAAAAAGAAGUUGCUGAGCAUUUGGGUCUUCACAAGGCUUUAUGCAUAUUGAUGAGCUGGAACCACAUGAUGCCACCUGAUAACUCCAGGUCAUAUCAGCGAUUAUCUGGCCAACAAGCUGGCGCUGACCGGGAUGAUCUCAUUAUGUGGCCACCUCAUGUCAUCAUACAGAAUACAAUUACCGGGAAGGGUAGAGAUGGACGUAUGGAGGGUUUAGGCAACAAAGCAAUGGACAUGAAGCUUAGAGGUAUAUAUUGUUUAUAUAUCUUGCUUCUUUAUAUAUAAUUAUAUAUAUAUAAUUGGUAAUUUACUCCAAUGCCCUCCAAAUUCCAAUGCUUAACAACCCAUGAAGAUGUUUUCCUAUCCUAUAAGGCUAUAAUACAUUGUGCAUUCUAUACAUGUAUAAUGUGAUGUGCAUUCUCUACAUUUAUAGCCUGAUUAUUGUAUUAAUCAGGCCAAGGAUAAAUAGAUUAGGAAGUGGUCAAAUAGGCUGAACUUACAGAAUAGAACAAUCGUACAUAACAUAAAAAAUCAAGUUGGGUUUGGUAUCUGUUUAAAUGGUUAUUUUUUUGAAGUUUUGUCUUCUUAUUGUUUCUCCAUCUUUCUCUUUCUAGAGGGACAAAAAUUGCACUCUCAAAAGGGUGGGAGUGGGACAGGGACUUGCUCUUGGUCUCUUUUGUGUAAAAGACGUAAAUGUCCUCCCCUCCCCUCCUCAUUCUUGUCAUCAAGAAUAACCGUAGAAAGUUUGUUGUAACAAACACAUCCUUAAAGAUGUUAGUUGUAGUAUAUGUUCCUUCUUCUAUAUCUCAUUUGUGAAGAUUAGUAUUAGUCUCCACUAGGGUGUUAAGGAUGUUAUAUUUUUGAAUUUAAGUGUGCAAUAGCUAGUUGUUGUCAUGUCCUUGAAGAACCAAUCAAAGUUUUCCUGGAUAUUCUCAUGUAGUGACCUAUCCAUUCUUUUUUUUUUUCUUCUGUGUGACAUCAUUACAAGAGAGAGUACCAUGGAACAGCAAUUAGAAAGCUGUUUCACAAAGUGGCUAGGAUUUAGUAUUUUUAUAUCUCAGAUUAGUAAGUAUGGUAGACAUGAUUUUCAUGAAAUGCAGGAUGCUUAUUUAUUGCAAGAUAUUUGCUCGUCUAUUACCCUAAUUUCUGUGGGCCAUUGAAGUAGUUAAAAUUGUCAAAUUAUAUGAUGUUACUUUACUACAUAUAAAAUAUAAGUUUGGGAAAUCAUUGUGUUGUUUAAAAUUUAAAUUUAAUUGUUGGUUACAAAAAGUUUGUUGUCCACCUAAUAGGGAAAUGAUAGUUGCAACAGAUUAUGCAUAUGAUGUUUUGAUGUUUUAAGUUGGAUCAUAUCAUAUGGAGUAUGAAUUCAAAGGUCCAAAACCUACAACUAACAUUGCAUUAUUAGAUUUAGAGCUACAGCUACUUAUGCAAUCUCUGCAUGUUAGUUCAAGUCAAAUUGAUGUUUGUAUCCAUCCAUGUAAAUGUUAGAUAUGGAUCUUUAUAUGUGGCAUGAUUUUUGUACUCAUCAGAUCUUGGAUUCACAAGCGGAAAGUCAAAGGCAAUGUUUGGGAGAGAAGGGCACUUGGGGAUAACUGUGGUUAAGUUUGGUGGUGACCACUCGGGUCUAAAGGAUGCCAUGAGACUUGCAGAUUUUUUCGAGAGACAGAAACACGGGCGUGGCUCCUGGGCAUCCCUCAGAUCAGGAUCAGGUUCAGGGAGAGAUGAAGACAAAGAUCCAAAUUUUGUCAAGUUUGAUAACAAGACAGGGGAGAAAGAGAGAGUCUUGUAUGGCUAUUUAGGAACCGUGUUUGAUCUCGACAGCCUGGAUUUUGAUACUAAAAAAAAGGUCACAAUCGAGAGCAAGAGAGAAAAAGCACAGCAACCACACCCAAACCCUAACCCUACUACUUGAUAUCAUUUAUUUACCAACAACAACAACAAGUCUAGUAAGGUACACCAAACAAAGUAUGCUGUUUGGUUAUAUAUGUUUUAUUGGGUUCGAAGAUAGAAAGUAAUUAACACAUGGGGCUUUCGGUAAAAAUUGGUUAGAAGUAGAUGUUGCCUUUGGAAUCGCUUGGUUUUAUUUAUUUUCUUGGUGUUGCUGUUAGUUAUUCCAUAUAAUCAUUGCGUAUGGCACUUGUGUUGAUUUAUAUGCAUGCAUGCAUUUAUUUGUUUCAUAAGUUGGUAGAAAAGUAAGUUGUAAAUACCAUCUUUGUUUUCAUCAUUCUACAACCUUUUUUUUAAGCCACAUUUGUUACACACUUCAAAGACGUGACAGGUAAUAUUAUGUUUGGUAUGUGAUUGGCUCAUAGGAUGCAGACCACACUGGUGGUGAAAUCACUUAUGUAACCACUAAAAGGUUAAAUCUGAAUUGGUAAAUUAAAAGCCUUUGAACUCUAUCAUCCAGAAGAGAUUGGAAUGAUUCGGUAUUAAAUGAUUUGGUUUUACAAACAGCUGUAUUAGAGAAUCAAAUGGACAGGACAUUUAAUUUUUUGACAUAUUUCCAUUAGUUUAUACAUGAAUUAGUUUAUAACCCGUGGGAACCACGGUUACAAAAUUAAUUAAACUUUCAUAGUAUAAAAAUUCAAAAUUAUUAAUCAAUUAUUUUAAAUAAAUUAUUAAUUAAGAGUUUUUUUAUUAUAUAAAAUUAUAAUCAUCGAAUAAAAUAAAUAUAUGAAAUUACAUCACUUUAUAAUUUGUAUUAAUUUUAUUGUAGUUUUUAUUCUAAUGUUAUUAAUUUAAUGUAAUUAGAGUGAAAAAUUUGAAAUUUGAAAUGA